rnacentral:tRNA from 1 species
GGUUGUAGCUCAGUGGUAGAGUGCUAGCCUCCCACCUGUGAGGCCCUGAGUUGGAUCCUCAGCACCA